rnacentral:miRNA from 10 species
AAUGGGGGCUGCCAGGCAGGGGGCCCCCUGGUUCCUGUGUUUCAUCUUCCUCGC